AACGAAUGCUGGCGGCAUGCCUAACACAUGCAGGUCGAACGAAGCCUUCGGGCUUAGUGGCGCACGGGUGCGUAACGCGUGGGAAUCUGCCCUUUGGUUCGGAAUAACAGUUGGAAACGACUGCUAAUACCGGAUGAUGACGAAAGUCCAAAGAUUUAUCGCCAGAGGAUGAGCCCGCGUAGGAUUAGCUGGUUGGUGUGGUAAAGGCGCACCAAGGCGACGAUCCUUAGCUGGUCUGAGAGGAUGAUGAGCCACACUGGGACGGAGACACGGCCCAGACUCCUACGGGAGGCAGCAGUGGGGAAGAUUGGACAAUGGGCGAAAGCCUGAUCCAGCAAUGCCGCGUGAGUGAUGAAGGCCCUAGGGUUGUAAAGCUCUUUUACCCGGGAUGAUAAUGACAGUACCGGGAGAAUAAGCCCCGGCUAACUCCGUGCCAGCAGCCGCCGCCG
rnacentral:rRNA from 1 species